UACGAAGGGGGCGAGCGUUGUUCGGAAUUACUGGGCGUAAAGGGUGUGUAGGCGGUUAUAUAAGAUAGUGGUGAAAUGCCAGAGCUUAACUUUGGAAUUGCCAUAAUGACUGUAUAGCUAGAGUGAUGUAGAGGAUAGCGGAAUACCCAGUGUAGAGGUGAAAUUCGUAGAUAUUGGGUAGAACACCGGAGGCGAAGGCGGCUAUCUGGGCAUAAACUGACGCUGAGGCACGAAAGCAUGGGGAUCAAAC
rnacentral:rRNA from 1 species